UGCAUUCACUACUGUAAGUCGCUCUGGAUAAGAGCGUCUGCUAAAUGGAAAAAA
rfam:Salmo salar isolate Sally breed double haploid chromosome ssa01, whole genome shotgun sequence.